rnacentral:rRNA from 1 species
AGUGAACGCUGGCGGCAGGCCUAACACAUGCAAGUCGAACGGCAGCACAGUAAGAGCUUGCUCUUACGGGUGGCGAGUGGCGGACGGGUGAGGCAUACAUCGGAAUCUACUUUUUCGUGGGGGAUAACGUAGGGAAACUUACGCUAAUACCGCAUACGACCUACGGGUGAAAGCAGGGGAUCUUCGGACCUUGCGCGAUUGAAUGAGCCGAUGUCGGAUUAGCUAGUUGGCGGGGUAACGUCCCACCAAGGCGACGAUGCGUAGCUGGUCUGAGAGGAUGAUCAGCCACACUGGAACUGAGACACGGUCCAGACUCCUACGGGAGGCAGCAGUGGGGAAUAUUGGACAAUGGGCGCAAGCCUGAUCCAGCCAUACCGCGUGGGUGAAGAAGGCCUUCGGGUUGUAAAGCCCUUUUGUUGGGAAAGAAAAGCAGCAGGUUAAUACCCCGCUGUUCUGACGGUACCCAAAGAAUAAGCCCCGGCUAACUUCGUG